CAAAGGUUUGGUCCCAGCCUUUCUAUUGGUUUUUAGUAGGAUUACACAUGCAAGUAUCCGCGCUCCGGUGAAAAUGCCCUUCAAGUCACCCAGUGACCGAAAGGAGCGGGCAUCAAGCACACCACAUAUGUAGCUAACGACGCCUUGCCUAGCCACACCCCCACGGGUUACAGCAGUGAUAAAAAUUAAGCGAUGAACGAAAGUUUGACUUAGCCAUACUAAUACUCCAGGGUUGGUAAAUUUCGUGCCAGCCACCGCGGUCAUACGAUUAACCCUAAUCAAUAGAUGAACGGCGUAAAACGUGUUAAGGAAUCCAAUAUAAAAUAAAGUUAAAUCUGAGCUGUGCUGUAGAAAGCUCCAGCCCCGACAAAAAUAAACCACGAAGGUGACUUUAAAUAUAUCCGACCACACGAUAGCUAGGACACAAACUGGGAUUAGAUACCCCACUAUGCCUAGCCCUAAACUUAAAUAGCCAACACAACAAUGCUAUUCGCCAGAGUACUACUAGCAACAGCUUAAAACUCAAAGGACUUGGCGGUGCUUUACAUCCAUCUAGAGGAGCCUGUUCUGUAAUCGAUAAACCCCGAUAAACCUCACCAACCCUUGCUAAUUCAGCCUAUAUACCGCCAUCUUCAGCGAACCCUAAAAAGGAACCAUAGUAAGCAAAACCAUAAAACAUAAAAACGUUAGGUCAAGGUGUAGCCAAUGAGUUGGGAAGAAAUGGGCUACAUUUUCUAAUAUAGAACACCAUACGAAAAUUUCCGUGAAACCGGAAAUGGAAGGAGGAUUUAGUAGUAAACUAAGAAUAGAGAGCUUAGUUGAAUAAGGCCAUGAAGCACGCACACACCGCCCGUCACCCUCCUCAAGUAUCAAGAUACAAAUAACUAACCCUAUUAAUGAAUGUACACAAAUAUAAGAGGAGAUAAGUCGUAACAAGGUAAGCGUACUGGAAAGUGCGCUUGGACAAAU
rnacentral:ncRNA from 1 species